CUUUCUUCCAUCCCAGCCGAGAGUUAAGCCUUCAGCUUAUUCCACAGGCUCGCUUCCAUCACACCUCUCUCUCUCUCUCGUAUGUUUUCGACGUUUCUAUAUUGGCGGUGAUGACGAUAUCUUAUACCAUCAAACUAUGAAAGCUCUCUGGAGCUUGUUGAUGUCAAAGUUUUAUUCGCUGAGCCUUUAUUUCUUCGUAUACGUAUUUAAAUUUUCAGAACAUAGUGUUAAAUAUUGCUAUUUAAUUUUAUUGCAAGUGUAUUUUUCCGCGAAAUUGAUUGGCAUUCUGGUAUGGAUCUGAUAAUGCUAGCGGCAACAAAUUAGAGUCUCUGAUGCGUUUUUUUAUAGCGUUUUCGGUGCUGUACGUUGCCAAAAGUGAUCUGGGAGCUGAGAUUCUGGCAUUUGCCUCCUAUUUUGUUAGGCUUUUUGCAUUCAGACGUUCCUAUAUUCAUUUGUUUGAGCCUUAACUAUCUACAUAUGUCAGAUUCAGUGUUUGGUCAUUGCAAUGCUUUAACAUAAUAGCACACUUGCCAGAUGUGUUCAAAAGAAACUUAUAUAAGAGCAGGAUAAUUUUUCUUUGGUUUGCCCUUUCUUACCAACUAAACAACCCAAAACAGAGAAUUUAUAAUUUUAUUCUUUUCUUUUUUAUGUCUGUAUAACAUAACGUAAUUUGAUCAAUUCAUUCUAGGUGUUUAGCUGUCUUGUUAGAAGUUGUAAACUUUGGAUCUUAGCUAGUUGUGAUAUAUAUGUUGAUAUGUGCAAUUUGUUUAUUUCCUUUCAACCUAACCCAUUUGGUUAUUGUUUAAAUUAGAUUUAAAACCAUGUACUGUCCUAUGCAGAAACUCUCUCUGCUCUGUCGGAUCUACAUGAUUAUAUUAUUUUCUAAUGGUGGCCUAUGAUGAUUAAAUUUGUCCGUACCAUCUGAGAUAUUCUCCACAAAAGAUUAUCGUUGAUGUAUCUAUAUUUGCCAUUUCUGAGGCCUCACAUAUCUAAUUUCUUUUCUUUUUCUUUUCAAGCUGUAUUAAAUUGUUGUUGGGGGAGUUGUGAUAUCAAUCUGCCAUUCAACCAUGAAAUUUUUUUUGAACAUUUUGCUCACCAUAAAUUUUAACGUUGUGGAGAACAUGUAACUGUUUGGUAUGGGUGUGGUAAAUUCGGAAGGCAACAAAUUAGAGUCUCUGAUGCGCUUUUUCAGUAGUGUUUUCAGUGCUGUACGUUGCCAAUAGUGAUCUGGAGUUGAGAUUCUAGCAUUUGCCUCAAUUUUUAGUAAGGCUCAUGCAUUCAGAUACUCUACAUGUGUUUAACGUCUAGUUUUAUUAUCUCAAAUGUCAUCUUGGUAUAUUAUGUAGACAAAUAUCAUGUUGGUAAGUUCACCCCAUUAAUCUUUUCCUUUUUAGGAACGCGGUUAGGGAGAAACUUUGUGGUUGCGCAUGCUGGCUGGCCAAAACACUUGACCUUGUGUGUGGCACUUGCUCCAUGUCCCCUUGCAGUAAGGGGAGCUGUUGAGAUAUAGAAUUUUAGGGGAGUUGCUGAGAUAUAGUAUUUUGGCAUAUGAUGGUGGACUAAGCUUGAAUUCUUCUACAUCCAUUUUGAAAUUGUAUUGGUACCAUAUAUUUGAAUGGUUAUCUGAUUAAAUUGUUUUGAUCUUA